rnacentral:rRNA from 1 species
AUUGAACGCUGGCGGCAUGCUUUACACAUGCAAGUCGGACGAGUGGCGAACGGGUGAGUAAUAUAUUGGAACGUACCUAGUAAUGGGGGAUAACCACUGGAAAGUUUGGCUAAUACCGCAUACCAUUGGAUGGGCCAAUGUCGGAUUAGCUAGUUGGUGGGGUAAAGGCUUACCAAGCCGACGAUCAGUAGCGGGUCUGAGAGGAUGACCCGCCACACUGGGACUGAGACACGGCCCAGACUCCUACGGGAGGCAGCAGUGGGGAAUUUUGGGCAAUGGGCGCAAGCCUGAUGCAGCCAUGCCGCGUGUCUGAAGAAGGCCUUCGGGUUGUAAAGGACUUUUGUUAGGGAAGCGGUACCUAAAGAAUAAGCACCGGCUAACUCCGUGCCAGCCGCCGCGGUAAUUC